AUAAAAUGGCAUGACUACAUAGGGCAUAGAAAGAUAGAAUAGACUACAUAGGGCAUAGAAGAAUAGAAUAGAAUAGAAUAGAAUGGAAUGGAAUGGAAUGGAAUGGAAUGGAAUGGAAUGGAAUGGAAUGGAAUGGAAUGGGAUGGGAUAUUGUCAGAGAAUAUGACACAUAGCAAAGGUAAUAUUCAAAGUCAUCUGACAAGCAUUGGGCAGGAUGAUGUCCAACAUUAAUGCUCUGCUACUCAUCUAGCCACUGACCCUGGUCACUCAAUAUUCAAGACUUAAUGAAUGGAAAGUGGAAGAUGCAUUUUGCCUUCCUUUUGCUUUUGAGGUGAGACUCCGAGUUCUCAAAGAAAAUCAAGGCAUAUGGCUGGGCAUCUCUUUUAGCAUCCUUGAACAGUCUGUAAUGGCCCAAAUGUACUUCAAGAAUGCAGCAAUUGAAAACAAGUCACCCGGAGCACACAGACUAGAGUCUCUGUGGGCCACCAUGCAUGAGGACAUUCAAGCAGCCUUAUGGAGCAGUUUACAUGGAGAAAAACUAAGGCCUCCUGCCAACAGCCAGCACCAACUGGCCAUAUAAAUGAACUACCUUGAUCAUGAAUGCAGACUCUCUAAAGCCUUUACAUGGAUGCAACCUCAUGAGAGACCCCUGUCCAGAAGAACACAAUUAAGCUCCUGAAUUCCUGACCCACAGAAGAGCUGUGAGAUACUAAAUGCCUAUUGUUGUUUUAAGCCACUAAAUUUUGAGACACGCAUUUUAAAACCCAUCAAAAAAGCUGACAAGUCAGGAAUCCGUUUUAGGACACCUAUGGGCAUAUUCUGGGAAAGGAGUCUUAAUCAUUGAGAAGCAAACUCUGGAGCCAUUUCAUGGAGGGAUCUUAAAGGCACACAACCAUUGGUUUUACUGCACAUGUGUCACCGUCUGAAGCCAUCCUGCAACUCUCACGAGUCAUCUGCUCUGAAGUAGAGCACACCUAUUUCUGGAAAAAGAGGAUCAGACUGUCUUUUUCUGAGUGUGGUUGGCAUCUAUGGGAUAGGCUUUCCUGGUUAAAAACUAGUUAGUUAAAAACUAGGAAGAUAAGAGUAGCACAAUUGAAAGAAAGAAUGAAAGAAGGAGGGAGAGAAAAGAGUGAAAGUAGAAAAAUCAGGAAAAUCUUUCAGUGAUAGAAUAAAAAUAAAUCAAAGGAAAAAAGAAAAAAAUAAUGAUUAGAGUAAAAGAAACUAGAAAUAACUUUAAAAACAUACAUCAUAUAGGGCCGGGCGCGGUGGCUCACGCCUGUAAUCCUAGCACUUUGGGAGGCUGAGGCGGGCGGAUCACGAGGUCAGAAGAUCGAGACCAUCCUGGCUAACACGGUGAAACCCCGUCUCUACUAAAAAUACAAAAAAAAAAAAAUUAGCUGGAAUGGUGGUGGGCGCCUGUAGGCCCAGCUACUCAGGAGGCUGAGGCAGGAGAAUGGCGUUUACCUGGGAGGUAGAGCUUGCAGUGAGCCGAGAUCACGCCACUGCACUCCAGCCUGGGCUACAGGGCGAGACUCCGCCUCAAAAAAACAAAAAACAAAACAAAAAAAAACAUAUAAAAGUAACAAAUAUUCUAGAUACCAAACAAUGAAACAGACAAAACCUGAAAACAAAGAAUUGAGGAGAAAAAUAAAGUACAUCUCUAAAAUGGAAGCUAUUCCUGCCCCAUCCCUAAAUCUGCUUCCAUAUUUUAGAUGACUGCAGUUUUAUUCUUUGAGAAGGCAAAAGUCUAGGAAUCAUUCUUUACUCCUCUUGUUCUCUCACACCCCACAUCCAAUUUUCCAGGAAAUCUUGUUGAUUCUAUCUUGAGGCUCUUUCUAUAAUGCAACCAUUCUGCAAUCUCUCCAAGGCCACCACUUUGCUCUGAGCAAUCCUUGUCUCUUGCCUGAAUUGUGAAAAUACCCUAUGAAUUUGUCCUCUGGUUUCUAUCCAUGCCCUUUAUGGUCUAUUCUGAACACAGAAACAAAUGUGAUUCUUUUAAAGGUAGGUCAGACCAUGUCAUGCCUCUGCUUUAGCCUCCAAUAGCUCCCUAUUUCUUUGAGCAAAAAAACAUACAAGGCCCUACAAGCUCUGGCUCCCCAGUCACUGCCCUUGUCUCAGCUCCUUCUGCCCUUCCUCUUGCAUCUUCAUCAUGCUCCAGCCUUAAAGCUUUGCACUUAGGGUCUCCCAUUCCCUGAAGUGUUCUUCCUCUAAUGUUUUUCCAAGACUGAUACCAUUAUCUUCUUCAAAUUUUGACUCAAAUCUUACCUUUAUCUCUCCACCUGUCUCACAAUUGCACCCUUCAAUCCUUCCCCUCCCACCCACCUCUUCUGUGCAUGACUGAUACUCUUUAUUACCAUCUAACACAUCUCCAGACUGCUCUUCCCUCUUGAGAAUGUCAGCACCACCGGUGCAGAAGUCUUUGUCUGAAUUGUUUACCAAUGUGUUGCAAUUGUCUACAACAGGUCCUGAACACAUCCCUGUGUCUCUAUUAGUGUCCUGGGGCUGUCGUAACAAAUUACCACAAACAGAGAUUUACUUUCUCUUCAUGUUAGAGGUUAUAUGUCUAAAAUCAAGGUGUCAGCAGGACCAAACUUUCUCUGAAAUCUGUGGGGAGACUCCUUCCUUGACUCUUUCUAGUCUCUGUGGUUUGCUGGCAAUCCGAGAUUUUUCUCGGCUUGUAGUUGUGUCAUUCACAUCUCUGGGCCUCCAUAGUCACAUAGUGUUCCUCUUGUGUGUCUCUGCGUUUCUUCUUCUCUUCUUGUAAGGACACGAGUCAUACUGAAUUAACAGCCCAUCCUACUUCAGUAUGGCCUCAUCUUAAUACGUGUUACAUCUAAUUAAUGAAUUAGCUAAUUGAUGACCUUAUUUAUAAAUAAGAUUACAUCUUGAAGUGCUGUCAGGACUUCAACAUAUCUUUUUAGAGAACAAAAUUCACCCCAUAACAGUUCCCCAAAAUAUUUAUUUAAAUGAAUCAAUGAAGGUACUAAGUGAUGUAAGUUCUUAAAAACAUUCUUUGGCCAAGGGCGAUGUGGGAAGUCCCUUACUAUAGUUAGUACAUCUGAGUGAAUACACAAAUUAGUAAGACAAAUGUAGCUGCCUUGAUAAUGAGUUUAUAAGUAUUUUUACCAAAACUGUCAUUUGAUAACAAAUUAAAAGGUUGUGUACUGUGCCUUCUUUCACCAUGGUUUUACAUUACAAAAUAGAGUAAUUUCUAAAAUGUAAAUAUCAAUAAAUCAUAAGAAAGUAAAAUUCAUUAUUAAAUAAAGUUUUACAAAACAUACUGUCAUCCUGUAGUCCCUCUGCUAUGAGAAUCACAGAGAAGUGGGUCAUUGUUUCAGAAAAGAAUAUGGCAAUAAAAGUGAAUUUAAAUAUUAUGUCAAAGAGGAAAAACACCUCUUUGUGUUUUUAAUAUGUCAAUCAUUGCUGCAUUUUUUAUUAGAGGACACGUUUUCCUUUAAUUUCCCUAAUGUGUUAUAGCUUUAUUCCUA
rnacentral:lncRNA from 10 species